rnacentral:lncRNA from 1 species
UAUGUGAUUUCCCACUUAGUGUUAGGCAAGGCUUUAAGCCACUAACAUUUCCACACAAGCCUUUAUUAUUUCUUACUGCGUCCAUUGUAGCAUUGCCAAUGGUCUGGAAUUAUUAGAUCCAAGACUCAAAAUUUGAAGAUUCUUCAUUGAUACAAUCUCUAUGGGAAUAUUUCCUAAAAGAUUAUUGUUGUUGAGUGAUAGACGAAACAACAAAACCAAUAAUUUAGAUAAAUCUUGUGGAAUGCUUCCUGUAAGAUGAUUUGAGGAUAACUGAAGUUCACGUAAUUCGGUUGCCUCGCUUAGUUCUGGUGGGAUAACACCUGAUAAGUUAUUGUUAGAGAUCUUGAGGCUUGUGAGGCUACGGAACUUCCCCCAAUUUGGUGAAAGAUGACCAUAAAAAUUGUUUUCACUCAAUUCGAUGUAAACCAAGUUUGGAAGUACACCAAAAGCAUAUAUUAUGUUUCCACUUAGUUGAUUUUCCUCAAGUCUCACUCGUACAAAACUAGAGCAAUUCUUCAAACUCUCUGGAAUAUGGCCAGUGAAAUGGUUAUUGCUAGCGGAAAAUUUUGCCAACAUUCCACCAACACAAAUGUUGUGAGGUAAAUGGCCGACAAAAUUAUUAUCAGCGAGCUGCAAAUUUUCCAAAGCAAUAAUCCUGUUCAUUUGUAUUGGAAUAUUGCCACUGAGAUAAUUUUCAAUCAAAUUCAAUUUGUGAAGCUUUGACAUAUUUCCAAUAGUGGAAGGAAUGUAUCCAGAAAGUUUGUUUUGAUAAAGUAAAACGGAUUCCAAAUUGACCAGGUUACCUAUGGAAGUAGGGAUUGGUCCAAAGAGAUUAUUGCCCAGCAACUGGAUUGUUAGAAGGGAAUGCAAAUUUCCUAUUUCAUCCGGGAUAAAGCCAGAUAAUUGGUUGUCAUAAAGGUAAAGAUAACUUAGAUUGCUCAAGUUUCCAAUUGUGGAAGGGAUUUUACCAGAGAGAAUAUUCUCAAACCAAACAAGUUCACUGAGUUUUCUCAAAAAUCCAAUUUCAGGAGGAAUAAAACCUGACAAUUGGUUUCCUUCAAGGAAAAGUUUAUUUAGGUUGCUCAAAUAUCCAAUUUCACGAGGAAUAGAGUCAGAGAGAUUAUUACUUUGAAGAUAUAGCCUCUUGAGGUUGACCAACUUACCAAUUUCACUAGAAAUAUGACCAGAAAGUUUAUUGUCAUGUAAGCUGAGAAGUGAUAGAUUGGUCAAAGCUCCAAUUGAAAUAGGUAUGGACCCAAAAAGAUCAGAAGAACUCAUGUCGAGCUCUAUUAAUUUCCCCAACAUCCCAAUUUCUUGGGGGAUGGUGCCUGUAACACCCCUUCUCGGAGUGUCACAGAUUUUUUUUUUUUAAAUACACGUUCACAUUUAAAACCACACAUUUAUUAAUAUUAUACAUUGAGAACAUCAGAGUUUUUCAAGAACAAUUAUUGGAUUACAGACCAAAUCAUAAAAGUAUAUUAAAAUUAAAAACCACAACGUUCCAUGAUUUAAAAUACAUAUUUAAAAAUCCCAAAGAGUGUUUCCCCAACGCAUCCUCGCACUAAACGUCUUCAGUUUUACCUGAAACAUCAUCUACUCCCGUAUAACGACACGAGUUAUACGAUCAUCGUAGACACACAAGUAGGGUGAGCUAACAGAAAAAUAUGAGUUACAGAUAAACCUACUUACAUACUUUGAAUAAUAUUAUUAAUGUAAACAUACUACCAUCACGUAUACUUCAGACACUACUCACUUCUCAUCUGACUCUAAUCACUUCUCAUUUCUCACGUAUCUAUGGAAUUUAUCUCGAUUUUUUUCGCAUUUGUUAAGUUUAUGCCACAACCAGUCCCUCAUAUGGACCGCGGAUAAGAGUCGUCCUACGCACACCACAUUGGACAUAUCUCCCUAAUUCUUCAAGGGCUUACGAGUAAAAACAUUGGUGAGUAACAUCCAUUCACCAAGCACAAUACUCAGCACAAGUCAGAAACUCUUGGCGAGAUAUUUGUACCCUCUAGAAAGAGGAAAAGUAACAGGACUCGAAUCCACUUAUCGCCUUACAUAGGCAAAAAGGAAAUCAUCAUUUUUAACUACCGAGAUAAAUAUAAAUCAUCCCAAUGAUACGAUAAGAUUAGAGAAUCAAAAAGGAUUAUCUAUUAGACUAAAAGAACUCAACAUCCAUUAACUUAAAUUAAAUCUAAAAUACAUUCAGAAUAACGUGUUGUCUACUUUGACCUUGGCUCAAUGUUUUACUCGUAAUUUUUCUCUACAGUAUUCCAACUGAAGAGAUUCUUGUUUUGUUGGAUUCUAAACUCAAGAAUCUUUUCUUAGACACCAGACUAGUAAAAUAUCCUUCAUUACAAUUUUAAUAUUUAAAAUAUUCAACACAAAAAGUAUUGGUAAGCUACCAAAAACAUAAUUUUCAUAUAAACGUUCUGGAAAACCAAGAAGUUGAAUCUGGCAAAGCCGGUUAGACAUCUUCUUAUCCUUCCAGAUAGAUGUAAUAGAAAAAGGAUAUACACUCAAUAAUUCAUACAAACAUCAUAAAAUCCAUUCAUCCCAAAAAAAAAAAUCAUACAAAUUAAAUAUAUCACAAAAUAAUUUAACUGCACAUAAUCUGUUUGAUAAGAAUUAGUUAAAAACACAACGAGUAGACUUCCAGGAAAGAGAGGUGUGUCACAAUGGACAACUUAAGUACCAGGUCUUUCCUUAGCCAAAGUGUUCCUCAAUGUGUUAUUAACAGAUUUCUUAUUCACAGAUUCAAAACAACAGCAUAUAAUAUUAUCACAGAAAUUCAAAUAGUUAUGCAACAAGCACAUAGGUUUUUCAUUAAUAGUAAUUGCACAAAAUUUCAAGACAUGAAUAGUUAUAAAAAAAUAUUUUAUAAAUAAAUAAAAAAACUUAGAAAGGUUAGCUCCCCUUACCUCUAUUUUAGACUCAAUUCCUUCCUCCGAAGUUGUUCCCCCCGAAAAUCUUCCAGAACCCCUACUCUUCUAAAAUUUUCUUCCUAACUCUUUCUUCUCAAGAUUUCUCACUUGAUUCUUCCUCUCUUUAUGCAGAAUGAGCUCUCCUCCCAUGGCUAUUUAUAGUCCAAAAAAUUUUACUAUUUAAAUUAUUUUAAUAUUAUUUUAUUAAUAUUUUAAUCACCACUUGCAAAUCUUAUCCUUUCUUAAUAAUGCAACUCAAUGAUUCUUAUCCUUUCAUUAUUUUAUUUUUAUUAUUAUUAUUAUUAUUUUUUUUUACUAUUCACGUUUUACUAUUCACUUUUUACUAUUCACUUUUUUUUUUUAACAAAACCUUCUAAAAUAGGUUCUCAAAAUUUUAAACCCCUUCUUAUGAAAUUAUUAUAAUUUUCUAUCAUAAUCUAAAUGUUUCUAACCUUAACUAUAUUUUCCAUUCAUUAAAAUUAUUAUUACUAAUAAUAAUGCUAAAAUUUACUAUUAUUUAUAAAUAUUUUACAUGGGUCUUACAGUGCCAGAAAGGCCGCUUUCCCCAAGAUAUAGGAUCUCCAGGUUUCUCAUAUUCACAAUUUCUUUGGGAAUGGAAACAUGGAAGUUAUUAAUUGUAAGUGAUAAAUGGUUUAGGUCAAUGUGCAAAUUCUCUGAGGAAUGCUGCCAAAAAGGUUGUUGCCUGCUACAUCUAGAUGAAUCAAAUUGUUCAACUUUUCUAUAGAGAUUGGGAUUGUCCCUGUGAGAUUGCAAAAAGGAACAUGAAGCAUUCUCAGCUCCCUUAAUCUCCCUAUUUCUUGGGGAAGGGACUCACUGAAAGUAUUAUAACUCAUGUUCAACUUCUGAAGGCUAAUCAACUGUGUUAUUUCAGAAGGGAUAAUCCCAGAGAGUUUAUUAGCAGACAAAUCAAGAACAACUAGAUUGGACAGAACUCCAAUUUAAGGAGGAAUACUUCCAAUCAGAAAGUUGUUAGUGAUCACAUGCAAUUCCGAGCCAAUUGCAAGAAGUGUUAGCAGUCCAUGAAAAGAGAGAAGCUUGACUCUGCUUGUCAAGGCUGGCUUUCCACUUCACCAGAGCAUUUGCUUCUGAAGCAAUUCCGGAAGAAUUGAAAGCAUGAGAAUGGGGAAUGCAGAAAACAACAUUAGAAGAAGCAACCAAAAGGGUUGGAACUUCAUCGACAGAAGCGUUGGAAAUAUGAACAUCAUACUGAAUUGUUCACACAGCUACUUAGGUUCGACACACACAUAGAUCUCCACACAUGAUAAGAUAUUGUCCGCUUUGGGCCAAGCCCUCACGGUUUUGCUUUUGGUGCCACUCCAAAAGGCAUCUUAUCAGCCUUCACGGGUUUGCUUUUGGUACCACUCCAAAAGGCCUCUUAUCAUUGGAGGAAUGUAUGUGUAUUUAAACCCUUGACCAGCCCUUCUUUUACUCGAUGUGGGACUUUGUUUGCAUUCCAACAUUUUUUUUUCCUCAAAUUGAGUCUUAUUAUUCAUUGAUAAUUGAAGGGCUUUAAAUAGCCAUGAUACUUACAAUAUCAUGGAAAUAAAAAUAAAAUCUGAAAAUAAAAUAUCAACUGACUUAAAAAUAAAAUCUCCUUAACCUAUCAUACAAUAAUAUUCUAUCUAAUAAACAGAAAAUCAUAACUACUCAUUCAUAUUUUAUCUCUAUCAAAUCAAACCAAAUAUUACUAGACUCAAAACUAAUAAAAUAAUAUUUAAACAAAAUUAUUAAUAAAACCCUAAAAUUUAAGUUUAUCUCAAGUUUAUCUCAACAAACUCCCCCAUAAACUUAAAUUCUUCCUUCCUUGCUUUCCAUGUGCAUCAUCCCACACCGGGUUUGUUUCUUCUCUCCAAGAUUUUCAGCUCUGGUUCUUCUUUGCUUUUACCUGGGUUGUUAGACGACCAUGCUUAACCUUUAAGUACACAAAUUUGGCCUCCACCUUGGUGAGUUCACAAAAAAAGUUCUCGUUCCCACACAUAUGAUUGCUUGCUCCAGUAUCUAGAUACCAUACUGAGUUGGUAGAAAUCUCAUCGGCCUUCAUCUCUUCUUCAUCUUCUUCCCUAGAUGUUUUCUCUUCCUUUUCAGGAGCUGUCUUCCUCAGUUCCUCAAGCUCAACCCUCUGUUUAUUCGUAAUUUCAUUAGCUUCAUCUAGAAGCCUCCUUAUUCGCCGAAUCUCUUCAUCUUUUCCUUUGAGUUCUUUCUCCAGGUUUUCCUUCUCCACAAUUGUUGCAUCCUUUACCGAGAUCACUUCAUCCAUUGUUGGGAUUGGGCUCUCCAUGUCCACUACAUCCAAGAUCUUUGCUAUCAACAAUUCUUCUGCAUCUUCUUCUGCAUAUUCAGUAACGAGAUUCGUCUCCCCCUUUGUCUUGGUCUCGCAAUACCUUGAAAUAUGAUCAAACUUGCCACAGUUGUAGCACCUUGUUGCCCAACACUCGUUUUCAUAGUGGUCGCACUUGCCACACCUAAAACACUCUGCCCUUGACCGAUCUCCUCGGUAUUUUCCUUGUCUUCGAUCAUGCCAAUUCUGUUGACCGGUUUGAUCUUCAUUGCCUCUACCACGUCCACCUCGUCCUCGGCCUCCUCGCCAUCUUCCACCAGGACCUCGGCUCUGAGUAAUCUGAGAUUUAUCAAAGUCCCACAUCGAGUAAAAGAAGGGCUGGUCAAGAGUUUAAAUACACAUAGAUACCUCCAAUGAUAAGAGGCCUUUUGGAGUGGUACCAAAAGCAAAUUCGUGAGGGCUUGGCCCAAAGCGGACAAUAUCUUAUCAUGUGUGGAGAUCUAUGUGUGUGUUAAACCUCCCCCAACAGUGGUAUCAGAGCCCAUGGUUCUGGUCUGGUGACCGAGCUCAAACGAGUACGUCCUCCCAUGAUCAGGUGAGUCAGGCAGGAGGCCAGUGGCCACCGGAUGAAUCAUGAGAGGUGGGGAGAGCAAGAGAUGCUCAUUGUGACCAUGGAUCAUGAGGGCUUGGCCCAAAGCGGGCAAUAUCUUAUCAUGUGUAGAUAUCUAUGUGUGUGUCAAACCUCUCCAACAAUUAUCUAUACAUUAUCUGUAUGUGUUCCAUAAUUUUUCGUCCUUAAUACGACUGUAAGUUUCUUGCACUUAAAUUUAUUAAAGUUAUUGUCUUAUCAUCAUUUAAUAACACAAAUUUGAAAGUGAAAAUAAAUCAUUUUCAAAUAAGAAGAUAUAAAAAACAACUUUCAAAUUUAGGGAUUAUAAAAAUAUUUUUAAAUUUGGAGGACUAAAAUAUUUUAAUUUGCAGAAAUUAAAAUGUAAAUUUUAUAUUUUGAGUGGUUAAAAAAUCACUUUUAAAUUUAACGGACUAAAAUAAAGUUUAAUACAAAUUUUAGAGAAUAAAAACAUUUUAGCCGGAAAAUUCUUGAAAAUGUAUUUCCACAUUAUUAUUUUACGGACAUGAUCCAGAUGUUGUUAGGCACGUUAACCAUCUUAACAACUAAUGUAACGAUAUUAUAUUAUUGAUGAGGAACAAAAGGAUUAUUUUUAGAAUUUUAAAAUUAAAAAUAAUUUUUAAUUUAGGAAUCUAAAUCAGAAAAAAAAAAUCAAAUUUAAAGAUUAAAAGUAUUUAUUUUUACAGUGCAUUAUUUUUCUUUCUUUGCAUUUAUUCAUCCAUUUUAAUCCUUCAUUAUCAGUGCAUCUAUUUUUACAGUCUAUGUUUUCAUUACAGUAUCUUGCAUUCAUUGAUUAGUUUUAGUAAAUACAUGCAUUAUUAGAUAGUUUUAUAUUUUAGAUUUCAGUUUUACAAUUUUCUCUCCACCUACUUUUUAGUAAAUAAGUAUUUAGGCUUAAUUCUACAGUUUCUAAACUUGAUAAGUACCAAGUCCACGGAUUGAUCCUUGGUUGACCCCUAUAUUACAUUAGUGGGGAAAUUUAAGGUUUGUUGACUUUUGUGCGACCAAAAGCCUUUCAACAACAACCAACUUAACAUAUGAGACUAAAUUGACACAAAUUGAAUAACAUGGGGACCCAAUCUAUAUAUUUUUAAAAGAGGGUACUAAACUGAAAAUUUCCUCUUAACAUGGGGACCAAUUAAGGAUUUAAGUCCAUAUAAUUAUUAACAAUAUUUAAUUAUGAUUAUAUCUCAUAGUAUCUCGCAGUUACAAGUUUAAAGUAACACAAAUUAACAUAUAAAAAUUCAACACAAAAAAGAAAAUAGCAAAUAAUAAAACCCACCCUCUUUAUAAACUUCAAUCUUUAGCUAUACACGUAUGUUGCAAUCUUGACUCCAUUCAUGGAAGAUGUGAGCUUUACAUUACAAGUUCAUUGGCAACCUCCUUCAUAUUAGGACGAGAUCGUGGACUUUCAGUCAAACAAGCAACUGCUAUCUUUGCAAUUGAUGUCACUUCUUUAACUGAACAUUUUGUUGGAGGAGGAAGACGCUGGUCCAACUUCUCCAUCAAUGUCAAGUGAUCAAGUGUUAAGGCCACACUUGUGGAUGAAGAUGAUAAAGAGGAAGAUAUAAAAUCAGCAGGAUGCUUUCCAAGAAGUAUUUCCCAUGCCAACACUCCAAAACUAUACACGUCACAUUUCUCAUUCACUUCCAUUGUGUAUGCAAGUUCUGUAACAAACUAAACCUUNNNNNNNNNNNNNNNNNNNNNNNNNNNNNNNNNNNNNNNNNNNNNNNNNNNNNNNNNNNNNNNNNNNNNNNNNNNNNNNNNNNNNNNNNNNNNNNNNNNNNNNNNNNNNNNNNNNNNNNNNNNNNNNNNNNNNNNNNNNNNNNNNNNNNNNNNNNNNNNNNNNNNNNNNNNNNNNNNNNNNNNNNNNNNNNNNNNNNNNNNNNNNNNNNNNNNNNNNNNNNNNNNNNNNNNNNNNNNNNNNNNNNNNNNNNNNNNNNNNNNNNNNNNNNNNNNNNNNNNNNNNNNNNNNNNNNNNNNNNNUCACGAUGAAUAAUUGGUGGUGAGCAAUCAUAAUGCAUGUACAAUAAAGCAUUUGCUACAUCUUUAAUAACAUUCACUCUCUUAUUCCAAUCAAAUGCAAUUGCUUCUUCAUCAUCCUUCAAAAUAUUCUGGACAUUGCCCUUCUCCAAGAAUUCACACACCAUAAAUGACCAUUGGUAAUGCGAACAAAACCCAUAUAACUUUACUAUGUUACGAUGGCGAAUUUCUGUCAGAGCUUGGAUCUCACUUCUGAAAGCUUUCACAUUGAGCUUUUCUUCAUUUGGAACUGAAUGCAGUUUCUUUACAGCCACAACUUGACCUGAGGGUAACAUUGCUUUGUAAACUUGUCCUUGCCCUCCAACUCCAAUGAGAUGCUUAUCGUCAAAAUUUUCAGUGGCUUCAACAAUAUUCUCAAAUACCAUUUUGCCAUCAAAACUCCAUAUAGCAAAUGUGUUUGAAGUUUGUAAAUUGGUAGCUUCCUCUUCCAUUUUCAUUGAAGUUUUACAUAAAUAAUACAAGACUCCAAUAACAAACAAUGCCAGCAUUAGAGUGCCCAAAGUAAGGGGUAGAACCAUUGUUAUGACUUUCUUUGUCAUAUGCUUAUGUGAUUUCCCACUUAGUGUUAGGCAAGGCUUUAAGCCACUAACAUUGCCACACAAGCCUUUAUUAUUUCUUACUGCGUCAAUUGUAGCAUUGCGAAAGACUGGAAUGUUUGGAAGUGGACCCUCAAAAUCAUUGUAAGAUAUAUCAAUAGAUGUCAAGCUCAUCAUUUCAUCAAAGAUAGAAAGAUCACCUGAGAGACUAUUGUGAGAGAGAUUCAAUGUUUCUAAUUUUUUUAACCCUCCAAGCACAUGUGUUAAUGUUCCCCUCAACAAAUUUUCGCUGAGAUCAAGAGUUGUAAGAGAUAUUAAUUUGCCAAGCUCUAAGGGAAUAUUUCCCUCAAAUUUGUUCUGACUCAAAUUCAUUUCCAAUAAACUGAGCAAAUUUCCAAGUUGGCCUGGAAUUAACCCAGACAAAUUAUUAGAUCCAAGCCUCAAAAUUUGAAGAUUCUUCAUUGAUGCAAUUUUUGAGGGAAUAUUUCCUGAAAGAUUAUUGUUGUUGAGUGAUAGACUAAACAACAAAACCAAUUUAGAUAAAUCUUGUGGAAUGCUUCCUGUAAGAUGAUUUGAGGAUAACUGAAGUUCACAUAAUUCGGUUGCCUCGCUUAGUUCUGGUGGGAUAACACCUGAUAAGUUAUUGUUUAAGAUCUUGAGGCUUGUGAGGCUACGAAACUUCCCCCAAUUUGGUGAAAGAUGACCAUAAAAAUUGUUUUCACUCAAUUCGAUGUAAACCAAGUUUGGAAGUACACCAAAAGCAUCUGUUAUGUUUCUAGUUAGUUGAUUUUCCUGAAGUCUCACUCGUAGAAGGCUAGAGCAAUUCUUCAAACUCUCUGGAAUAUGGCCAGUGAAAUGGUUAUUGCUAGCGGAAAAUUUUGCCAACUUUCCACCAACACAAAUGUUGUGAGGUAAAUGGCCAACAAAAUUAUUAUCAACCAGCUGCAAACUUUCCAAAGCAAUAAUCCUGUUCAUUUCUAUUGGAAUCUUGCCACUGAGAUUAUUGUCAAAUAAAAUGAAUUCGUGAAGCUUUGACAAAUUUCCAAUAGUGGAAGGAAUGGAUCCAGAAAGUUUGUUUUGAUAAAGUAAAACAGAUUCCAAAUUGACCAAGUUACCUAUGGAAGUAGGGAUUGGUCCUGAGAGAUUAUUGUCAAAUAAAAAUAAUUGACGAAGCUUCGACAAAUUUCCAAUAGUGGAAGGAAUGGAUCCAGAAAGUUUGUUUUGAGAAAGAGAAACGGAUUCCAAAUUGACCAGGUUACCUAUGAUAGUAGGAAUGGGUCCAGAGAGGUUGUUUUGAUCAAGUAAAAUUGAUUUCAAAUUGACCAGGUUACCUAUGGAAGUAGGGAUUAGUCCAAAGAGGUUGUUUUGAGAAAGAGAAAUGGAUUCCAAAUUGACCAGGUUACCUAUGGAAACAGGGAUUGGUCCAGAAAGAUUGUUUUGAUGAAGUAAAAUAAAUUCCAAAUUGACCAGGUUACCUAUGGAAGUGGGAAUUGGUCCAGAAAGAUUGUUUUGAUGAAGUAAAAUAGAUUCCAAAUUGACCAGGUUACCUAUGGAAGUAGGAAUUGGUCCAGAGAGAUUAUUGCCCAGCAACUGGAUUGUUAGAAGGGAAUGCAAAUUUCCUAUUUCAUAUGGGAUAAAGCCAGAUAAUUGGUUGUCAUAAAGGUAAAGAAAGUUUAGAUUGCUCAAGUUUCCAAUUGUGGAAGGGAUUUUACCAGAGAGAAAAUUCUGAGACAAAUCAAGUUCACCGAGUUUUCUCAAAAGUCCAAUUUCAGGAGGAAUAGAGCCUAAAAAUUGGUUUCCAUAAAGGUUAAGACUAGUUAGAUUGAUCAACUUACCAAUUUCACGAUGAAUGUGUCCAGAAAGAUUACAAUGGCCUAUGUCGAGAUAUACUAGUUUCCUCAGCAUGUAAAUUUCUUGGGGCAUGGUGCCAGAAAGGCCACUAUCCCCAAGAUAUAGAAACUCCAGGUUCCUCAUAUUCACAAUUUCUUUGGGAAUGGAACCAUGGAAUUUAUUAGUUCCAAAUGACAAAUACUUUAGGUCCAUGUGCCAAAUUCUCUGAGGAAUGCUGCCAGAAAGGUUGUUGGAUCCUAUAUCUAGAUGAAUCAAAUUGUUCAACUUUUCUAUAGAGAUUGGGAUUGUCCCUGUGAGAUUGCAAUAAGGAACAUGAAGCAUUCUCAGCUCCCUCAAUCUUCCUAUUUCUUGAGGAAGGGACCCAUUAAAAGUAUUUUGUGCCAUGAUUAAUGUCUGAAGGCCAAUCAACUGUGUUAUUUCAGAAGGGAUAAUCCCAGAGAGUUUAUUAGCAGACAAAUCAAGAACAACUAGAUUGGACAGAACACCAAUUUGAGGAGGAAUGCUUCCGUUCAAAGAAUUGUUACUUACAUUUAGAGUGUGAAUGUUUGUAAGCAUUGAGAAGUUGAGAUUUUGAAGCGUACCUCUCAAUCCAAUAUUUUGAAGAUUUAUUUGGGAAACAUGAUUGGAGUGAUCACAUGCAAUUCCGAGCCAAUUGCAAGAAGUGUUGGCAGUCCAUGAAGAGAGAGAAGCUUGACUCUGCUUGUCAAAGCUGGCUUUCCACUUCAGCAGAGCAUUUGCUUCUGAAGCAAUUCCAGAAGAAUUGAAAGCAUGAGAAUGGGGAAAUGCACAAAACAACAUUAGAAGAAUCAACCAAAAAGGUUGGAACUUCAUGGACAGAAGUGUUGGAAAUAUGAACAUCAUACUGAAUUGUUCAUACAAUAUUGAAUUGCAACGUAAGAGAAAGCUUGCAUGUUAUU